GUCAGAAGCUGGUGGGGACCAGAAUCAUGUCUAGAUGCAGUUCAAGGAAACGGAAAUGGUACAGGACUGAGGCUGUGGAUUGAAUUAUAAGAAGGCCUCCCCCCAGAAGAGAGGAAAUUCCACAGCUCUGAGAUUUACCGCUCCAGCCUCUUGGAUAUGUCAGAAGACAGGAAAAGAGAAAAGGAGCGCACGCUCCAACUAUUAACUCGCCGUCCUGGGCUUGGCACACUCUUAGGACGAGGGAGAAUGUGUUGAAGCUUGGGGCAGGCUUUUUACCAGCUGUGCGGAGAAAGCAGAGGAAACCGAGGUAAAUGACUGUGUGUGUCCCGGAGAGGCCCUGAACUCUGCUGACUGAUGCAGAUGGAGUCUUCUGAGGCUGCCAGCUACCAGAGCUUUUGACCAACUGAUGUAGGAAGAAGAAAAUGAACCAAGGGCGCCUGGGUGGCUCAGUUGGUUAAGCGACUGCCUCCGGCUCAGGUCAUGAUCCUGGAGUCCCGGGAUCGAGUCCCACAUCAGGCUCCCUGCUCAGCAGGGAGUCUGCUUCUCCCUCUGACCCUCCCCCCUCUCAUGUGCUCUCUCUCUCAAAUAA